CGGGACGCUGCAGCAGUGGGGAAUCUUAGACAAUGGGCGCAAGCCUGAUCUAGCCAUGCCGCGUGAGUGACGAAGGCCUUAGGGUCGUAAAGCUCUUUCGCUGGGGAAGAUAAUGACGGUACCCAGUAAAGAAACCCCGGCUAACUCCGUGCCAGCAGCCGCGGUAAUACGGAGGGGGUUAGCGUUGUUCGGAAUUACUGGGCGUAAAGCGCGCGUAGGCGGAUCAGAAAGUUGGGGGUGAAAUCCCGGGGCUCAACCCCGGAACUGCCUUCAAAACUCCUGGUCUUGAGUUCGAGAGAGGUGAGUGGAAUUCCGAGUGUAGAGGUGAAAUUCGUAGAUAUUCGGAGGAACAUCAGUGGCGAAGGCGACUCACUGGCUCGAUACUGACGCUGAGGUGCGAAAGUGUGGGGAGCAAACAGGAUUAGAUACCCGCGUAGUC
rnacentral:rRNA from 1 species